rnacentral:rRNA from 1 species
CCCGCUGAACUUAAGCAUAUCAAUAAGCGGAGGAAAAGAAACUAACAAGGAUUCCCCUAGUAACUGCGAGUGAAGCGGGAAGAGCUCAAAUUUGAAGUCUGGCAGCUCUCUGAACUGUCCGAGUUGUAAUCUAGAGAAGUGUUACCUGUGCUGGACCGUGUACAAGUCUCCUGGAAUGGAGCGUCACAGAGGGUGAGAAUCCCGUCUUUGACACGGACUGCCUGCAUGUUUAUGGUGCGCUCUCAAAGAGUCGAGUUGUUUGGGAAUGCAGCUCAAAAUGGGUGGUAAAUGCCAUCUAAAGCUAAAUAUUGGCGAGAGACCGAUAGCGAACAAGUACCGUGAGGGAAAGAUGAAAAGCACUUUGGAAAGAGAGUGAAACAGUACGUGAAAUUGUUGAAAGGGAAACGCUUGAAGUCAGUCGCGUCGUCCGAGACUCAGCCUCGCCUCGGCUUGGUGUACUUCUCGGACGACGGGUCAGCAUCAAUUUUGCCCCUUGGAUAAUGGCGAGGGAAAUGUGACACCUUUGCGGGUGUGUUAUAGUCUCUAGUCGCAUGCAAGGGUCGGGAUUGAGGAACUCAGCACGCGCCUUCGGGCGUCGGGGUUCGCCCACGAUGCGUGCUUAGGAUGUUGGCGUAAUGGCUUUAAACGACCCGUCUUGAAACACGG